GGGAGUACGGCCGCAAGGCUAAAACUCAAAUGAAUUGACGGGGACCCGCACAAGCGGUGGAGCAUGUGGUUUAAUUCGAUGCAACGCGAAAAACCUUACCUACACUUGACAUACUUUGAAUUUUUUAGAGAUAAAAAAGUGCCUUCGGGAACGAAGAUACAGGUGCUGCAUGGCUGUCGUCAGCUCGUGUCGUGAGAUGUUGGGUUAAGUCCUAUAACGAGCGCAACCCUUACCCUUAUUUGCCAGCGGUUCGGCCGGGAACUAUAAGGGAACUGCCGGUAAUAAGCCGGAGGAAGGUGGGGACGACGUCAAGUCAUCAUGGCCCUUACGUGUAGGGCUACACACGUGCUACAAUGGGAGAUACAGACGGUUGCGAAAGCGCGAGCUGGAGCUAAUCUGAGAAAGUCUCUCGUAGUCCGAAUUGCAGUCUGGAACUCGACUGCAUGAAGCCGGAAUCGCUAGUAAUCGCGGAUCAGCAUGCCGCGGUGAAUACGUUCUCGGGUCUUGUACACACCGCCCGUCACACCAUGGGAGUGAAUUGCACCAGAAGUAGAUAGCUUAACCUUCGGGAUGGCGUUUACCACGGUGUGGUCCAUGACUGGGGUGAAGUCGUAACAAGGUA
rnacentral:rRNA from 1 species